rnacentral:hammerhead_ribozyme from 1 species
GCGCUGCUGAGGAGUCCCACAAUAGGAUGAAACGGUAGUCCAGUGC